CCUUCACUGAUGAGCAAAACUCUAGACUUUCGUUCUUCUGAGAUUGCUGAAGCAAUUCAUCUUCUGAGAAGG